rnacentral:misc_RNA from 1 species
UGGGCCGCUGAUAACAUCUUGGAAUCUCAGGAAGCAUGUAAGAACCAUGAGUAAGUGCUUCCAAUAACAGAGAAGGAUCCCUAAAAGUGUAGUUCAAUAGAGACUCUAAGUGGCGGACCUCAAUGUGCUCCUCUGGUUUCACUUGGAAUUGUGGCUUAUACGGUGUAUUAAAAAAAUCUACCUUUAUACCAAUCCAAUUCAGAAAUAAUAAGGCAGCAAUUUCACCACCAGCACUGAGGUAAGCACCAAUAAGUGCCUCAACAACAUCAGCAACUUUCUUUUUCUUUAAUUUUCUUCUUCUUGUUAUGUAUAGACUCCUUGCAUUGGAGAUAAAAUCCUCCCGUAAUGAAUAAUUUCCAGAAGCAUCACCAGGAACCAUCCAGUUUUUUUGGAUCAAAAGACUCAUUGCGGAUGAAUCCCGGCAGUUUGCAGUCACAUCCUAAUUUGCAAAGUGUGUCAUUACUAAUAAGUUUGUCCUUCUUACUGCUGAGCCUGCCCUCGUGAUGUUUUUGGUAUGUUUUGAAUAGCAGCUGACUAGCAGCAUAUUUAAGAAAAGAAUCCCCAAGAGUCUCUAGUGAUUCCAAAUGAAAUUUCUCUUGACACUUUUUUGUGGUAAUG